rnacentral:rRNA from 1 species
UGGGGAAUAUUGGACAAUGGGCGCAAGCCUGAUCCAGCCAUGCCGCGUGAGUGAUGAAGGCCCUAGGGUUGUAAAGCUCUUUCACCGGUGAAGAUAAUGACGGUAACCGGAGAAGAAGCCCCGGCUAACUUCGUGCCAGCAGCCGCGGUAAUACGAAGGGGGUUAGCGUUGUUCGGAUUUACUGGGCGUAAAGCGCACGUAGGCGGACUAUUAAGUCAGGGGUGAAAUCCCGGGGCUCAACCCCGGAACUGCCUUUGAUACUGGUAGUCUUAAGUUCGAGAGAGGUGAGUGGAAUUCCGAGUGUAGAGGUGAAAUUCGUAGAUAUUCGGAGGAACACCAGUGGCGAAGGCGGCUCACUGGCUCGAUACUGACGCUGAGGUGCGAAAGCGUGGGGAGCAAACAGG